rnacentral:rRNA from 1 species
GACGAACGCUGGCGGCGUGCUUAACACAUGCAAGUCGAACGGUAAGGCCCUUCGGGGUACACGAGUGGCGAACGGGUGAGUAACACGUGGGUGAUCUGCCCUGCACUUCGGGAUAAGCCUGGGAAACUGGGUCUAAUACCGGAUAGGACCACUGCCUGCAUGGGUGGUGGUGGAAAGCUUUUGCGGUGUGGGAUGGGCCCGCGGCCUAUCAGCUUGUUGGUGGGGUGAUGGCCUACCAAGGCGACGACGGGUAGCCGGCCUGCGAGGGUGACCGGCCCGCCUGGGGCUGAGAUACGGCCCAGACUCCUACGGGAGGCAGCAGUGGGGAAUAUUGCACAAUGGGCGCAAGCCUGAUGCAGCGACGCCGCGUGAGGGAUGACGGCCUUCGGGUUGUAAACCUCUUUCAGCACCGACGAAGCGCAAGUGACGGUAGGUGCAGAAGAAGGACCGGCCAACUACGUGCCAGCCGCCGCCGUAA